CACGUAGGGCGCAAGCGUUGUCCGGAAUUAUUGGGCGUAAAGAGCGUGUAGGCGGUUUGGUAGGUCCGUUGUGAAAACUCGAGGCUCAACCUCGAGACGCCGAUGGAAACCAUCAGACUAGAGUCCGGAAGAGGAGAGUGGAAUUCCUGGUGUAGCGGUGAAAUGCGCAGAUAUCGGGAGGAACACCGAUGGCGAAGGCAGCACUCUGGGCCGGCACUGACGCUGAGGAGCGAAAGCGUGGGGAGCAAACAGG
rnacentral:rRNA from 1 species